UACGUAGGGUGCGAGCGUUGUCCGGAUUUAUUGGGCGUAAAGAGCUCGUAGGCGGCUCGUUGCGUCGGCUGUGAAAACCCGCAGCUCAACUGUGGGCUUGCAGCUGAUACGGGCGGGCUGGAGUUCGGUAGGGGAGACUGGAAUUCCUGGUGUAGCGGUGAAAUGCGCAGAUAUCAGGAAGAACACCCGUGGCUAAGGCGGCUCUCUAGUACGGUACUGACGCUGAGACGCGAAAGCGUGGGGAGCGAACAGG
rnacentral:rRNA from 1 species